rnacentral:rRNA from 1 species
UACGGAAGGGGCGAGCGUUGUUCGGAAUCAUUGGGCGUAAAGGGCGCGUAGGUGGUUCUGUAUGUCUACCGUGAAAGCGUACGGCUCAGCCGUAUUUUGUCGGUGGAAACUGCAGGACUUGAGGCUGGGAGGGGCUGGCGGAAUUCCCUGUGUAGCGGUGAAAUGCGUAGAGAUGGGGGAGAACACUCGUGGCGAAGGCGGCCAGCUAGACCAGUUCUGACACUGAGGCGCGAUAGCGUGGGGAGCAAACAGG